AACAUAUUGUGUGUGUGUGUGUGUGUGUGUGUGUGUGUGUGUGUGUGUGUGUGUAUUACACUCACACACACACACACACACACACACACACACACACACACACACACAU
rnacentral:snoRNA from 1 species